rnacentral:piRNA from 1 species
AACAUAUAGUGUUAUCUCUGGUGGUGU